GGCACGGUGGUGCAGUGGGUAGCACUGUUGCCUCACAGCAAGAAGGUCCUGGGUUCGAAUCUCGGCUUGGGGGCCU
rnacentral:tRNA from 1 species